rnacentral:rRNA from 1 species
GACGAACGCUGGCGGCACGCUUAACACAUGCAAGUCGAACGAAGUUUUGGAAGUUUACUUUUAAAACUUAGUGGCGGACGGGUGAGUAACACGUGAGGAACCUGCCUAUCAGAGAGGGAUACCGUUUGGAAACGACCGUUAAUACCUCAUAACGUAUUGAAACCGCAUGAUUUUGAUACCAAAGAUUUAUCGCUGAUAGAUGGCCUCGCGUCUGAUUAGAUAGUUGGUGAGGUAACGGCUCACCAAGUCAACGAUCAGUAGCCGGACUGAGAGGUUGAACGGCCACAUUGGGACUGAGACACGGCCCAGACUCCUACGGGAGGCAGCAGUGGGGAAUAUUGCACAAUGGAGGAAACUCUGAUGCAGCGAUGCCGCGUGAGGGAAGAAGGUUUUCGGAUUGUAAACCUCUGUCUUCAGGGACGAUAAUGACGGUACCUGAGGAGGAAGCUCCGGCUAACUACGUG